rnacentral:rRNA from 1 species
CCCUUAGAAGUUCUGGGCCGCACGCGCGCUACACUGACGAAGUCAGCGAGCAUGUCCUACGCCGACAGGUGCGGGGAAUCUUGUCAAACUUCGUCGUGAUGGGGAUUGAUUAUUGAAAUUCUUGAUCAUCAACGAGGAAUUCCUAGUAAGCGCAAGUCAGCAGCUUGCGUUGAUUACGUCCCUGCCCUUUGUACACACCGCCCGUCGCUACUACCGAUUGAAUGGUUUAGUGAGAUCUUCGGAUUGGCGCCACUGCGGCUCAGCAAUGGGCUCGGUGGAUGCCGAAAAGUUGAUCAAACUUGAUCAUUUAGAGGAAGUAAAAGUCGUAACA